UACUCCAGAGGGUGUCAUUCACA
rnacentral:miRNA from 1 species